rnacentral:lncRNA from 1 species
AAACUUCUCUCUUUAAUUUUCAAAACAACAAAAUCCAUCCAACCAAAACUAACACGUGGCUUAGGAUUUAAAAGAAACAAAAAUAAAAAUAACACUUCUUCUCUCUUGAUUCAGCAGGCAACGAAAAAUAAAAAAAUAAAGGGACAUCAAACUAUGUCUUCUCCCUCUCUCAUUCGCGAUUCUCUCUCUCUCUCUCUCUCUCUCUCUCUCUCUCUCUCUCUCUCUCUCUCUCU